UGAAUGAAUGAAUGCUAGAUAUGGAAACUACUCCUGUGUUGCUGAAAACAAGCUUGGGCGUGCUGAAGGAAAGGUUGAACUCUUUGAGACUGUUAUUCCAAUAUGUCCGCCUGCAUGUGACGCCAUUGAGUACAGCAGUGGAGCUAGCUCACUCACUACUUCACUAGCUCUCCUUCUAUUCAUCACUAUUCUCGCUGUUCGAUUCAGAAACUAAAUAAUGUCGUCUUAGAUUUUCUAUUUUUCAAAAUAUUUUACAUUUUUCUUGCCAAAUAAUUCAAGAACUUGAAAUAAUAAAAAGUAUUUAGAUUUCUAAAAACUAUCAAAAAAUGAUAUUAAAAACUUAUUUUUAUAGCAUCUCUCCGUUAAUAGAAAUGUAUUCUAUGUUUAAAAACCAAAAUAAGAAUGGCAUAUACUUAUACAAUAUAAUUAUAGAAUACGUUCUUAUCAUGUAUAUGAGAACAUUGUACAGUUAAAAAUUAAGAAAAAAUAAAUAAAAGGUUUUUAAAAA